AUGAACGCUGGCGGCGUGCCUAAUACAUGCAAGUCGAGCGAACAGAUAAGGAGCUUGCUCCUUUGACGUUAGCGGCGGACGGGUGAGUUACACGUGGAUAACCUACCUAUAAGACUGGGAUAACUUCGGGAAACCGGAGCUAAUACCGGAUAACAUAUUGAACCGCAUGGUUCAAUAGUGAAAGGCGGCUUUGCUGUCACUUAUAGAUGGAUCCGCGCCGUAUUAGCUAGUUGGUAAGGUAACGGCUUACCAAGGCAACGAUACGUAGCCGACCUGAGAGGGUGAUCGGCCACACUGGAACUGAGACACGGUCCAGACUCCUACGGGAGGCAGCAGUAGGGAAUCUUCCGCAAUGGGCGAAAGCCUGACGGAGCAACGCCGCGUGAGUGAUGAAGGUCUUCGGAUCGUAAAACUCUGUUAUCAGGGAAGAACAAAUGUGUAAGUAACUGUGCACAUCUUGACGGUACCUGAUCAGAAAGCCACGGCUAACUACGUG
rnacentral:rRNA from 1 species